rnacentral:lncRNA from 1 species
CGAGAUGCGGAAGAUGACUCAGGAGUCCGGCACGCAAAGUUAGGAUGUAGAACUGGUGGUGACUGCGAAGAAGGAGGCGAGAAUAUCGGCGACUGGAUAUAAACAGAAGAAACAGCUAUCUGAGGUAGAACGCUUUUACUGUCAUAGGAAGGGGCAUAUCAAGCGCAAUUAUUGAAAACUUCAGGAUGAUCUGAAGGAGUUAAAGCGACAGAAGGAGCAAACUGUCGUGAACCAGGACGAGACGGUAUCAGCGACGGCGCAGACAGCAGAGUCGGAGAUGAUCGAUUCUGAUGUGCUGUAUGCGGUGACCGGAGGUGCGAAAAUUUCGGACGAUGUGUGGGUACUCGAUUCGGCGUGUUCUUUUCACGUAUGCCUAGAGAAUGAGU